UACGGAGGGAGCUAGCGUUGUUCGGAAUUACUGGGCGUAAAGCGCACGUAGGCGGCUUUGUAAGUUAGAGGUGAAAGCCCGGAGCUCAACUCCGGAAUUGCCUUUAAGACUGCAUCGCUUGAAUCCAGGAGAGGUGAGUGGAAUUCCGAGUGUAGAGGUGAAAUUCGUAGAUAUUCGGAAGAACACCCGUGGCGAAGGCGGUUCUCUGGGACGGUACUGACGCUGAGACGCGAAAGCGUGGGGAGCGAACAGG
rnacentral:rRNA from 1 species